GUGAGGUUGGGGAAUCCGGGCUGAAGGUGGCGUCAGGGCUGCAGGACACCGCUGCCACCUGCUCCGCCUGAGGAAAUGCCUAUGUAUUUGAGGGUGGCCUCCAGCUCACAGUUUGCUCCUGCCUCAGCCUCCGGAGGGCAGGGACUACAGGACUGGAGGCAGAAUCCAGGGCCCCCUUGCCAGGCAAAUGUGUGAGCGCCCACCAGACCUCAGCAGCAAACCCGGGACCUCGUGGGCAACUCCUCCACCUCCUUCUUUUGAGAAUGACAGUUUUGGGUUUGGGUGUGGUCCCAAUGCCUGUAAUUACAGAACUCCCAAGGCUGAGGCAGGAGAAUCACAAAUUUUAGCCCAGGGAAAGUUAGUGAGUUUGCAAGAUUCUGUCUCAAAAAAAAAGAUGGGUG